GGACGAACGCUGGCGGUGUGCUUAACCCAUGCAAGUCGAACGGUAAGGCCCUUUCGGGGGUCCACGAGUGGCGAACGGGUGAGUAACACGUGAGUAACCUGCCCUCAUCUCUGGGAUAACAGUCGGAAACGGUUGCUAAUACUGGAUAUGAGCUUGCAAGGCAUCUUGUGGGUUGGAAAGAUUUUUUUGGUUGGGGAUGGACUCGCGGCCUAUCAGCUUGUUGGUGAGGUAGUGGCUCACCAAGGCUUCGACGGGUAGCCGGCCUGAGAGGGCGACCGGCCACAUUGGGACUGAGAGACGGCCCAAACUCCUACGGGAGGCAGCAGUGGGGAAUAUUGCACAAUGGACGGAAGUCGGAUGCAGCAACGCCGCGUGCGGGAUGACGGCCUUCGGGUUGUAAACCGCUUUCAAUUGUGACGAAGCUUUUUGUGACGGUAGCAGUAGAAGAAGCACCGGCUAACUACGUG
rnacentral:rRNA from 1 species